UUCGCUUACGCCGCUUCCUUCUGUCUUUCAUAUUUUGGUUUGGUUGGAAGCCUAAAUGCAGAAGCUCUUCUGUCACACAGUAAGAAGAGAUCCAGCAAAUGCACAAAAAUCAAUGACGACUGCUGAUCAAAUAAAGAUUUUAUCUUUCACAGCAAAAACAUUACAUAAUCAUCAAAAAAUGAGUAGUUCAAUUCAACAUCAAAUGAUUUUCCAGAGACAACAGGACAUCUGCAGAAAAUGUGAAAGUUGAUGGAAAUGAUAUCCAUAACGUGGAUGGCUUGGUUGAACGACUUCCUAGAAGCUCCCGUCAAAGGAAGCGAAAAAUUAUUAUUGAUGAUUCUAACGAUUCAGUUAUUCUCCCUAGGAAACCAGGGAGACCUAUAAUGUGAAUAGUGAUCGGCUUCGUGAAAGAUCAAGUAUAAAGAAGCCAAAUUAUUUUCUUGAUCAGUUAGAAGAAGAUUUAGAUAUCUUCACAGCAAAUAUGGGAAUCCUACAGAAAACAUUGUCAAAAUUGAAAGAAGUGAGUGACACUGUAAGAUGAUUCUUUUUCUUUUUGGGUUCACAAUUCUAAUCUUAUUUAAGUUUUACUUUUACUUUUAUAUGAGGAAAUAUUAUGUAACUAUGAAAUGCCAACUGAUAAUACGAAGAGUCAGAUAACUUUUUGGCAAGAAAACAAUGGUAGAACUCAUGACAAGUUUAGUACAAUUGCUAAGUGAUACAGAAAGCUCUAGUUUUUUUUCUUUCUAAACAUUUUUCAGUCCUAAAUUGUCAAGGUAAUACACCAGUUUGCCAUGAUUUUCUUACCAUGUUUUUUAAAAAUGUGUCAGAGAACUGUGUCAGAGAUAUCUUAUUCACAGAUAAUAUUUUCUAUUAUUCCAUCUUUUCAUCAUGUCUUUUUCUUUUUUUGCAAUUAGAAAAGAAGAGAUCCGGGAAAUGUAUCUCAAUGGAUAAAAAUCAAGGAUGCUGAUGCUAAUCAAAUGAACGAUGUCUCUUUCACAGCAAAAACAUUACAGUGUCAUCAGGUUAGUAUGUAAAAACUACUCUUGAAAAUUUUGAUCUUGCAUGUGUUGAAAAUGUUGAUGUGAAAGAUGAGAACUGGGAUACCUUAUAACUGUGGGUAAUGGGAUAAUGUUGAAAAAUAUUUUAUUAGUUUGAGGUUACAUUUUUUAUUUUACUGUUAACAAUAGGUUAUAGUAAUAUUUAACAACUUUAAAUAACAUGAAUUUAAAGAAAAUGAACAAUUUUUUCUUUUAUUUUUUAUAUAACAUAAGUUGUUUUUUAUGAUGUUUUCUGUAAAGCAGUACUCUGGAAGAGUUUUACAGUGUAAAAAGGUUGAGAAUACGUAAAUACAUAAUGGAGAAAGCAAAAAACACGUUGAGGCUGCUCCUUUUCAAUUGCUCAAGUGUCUAUGACUUUUAUGUAUUUUUUUACUAAAUUUUUCAUAUGUUUUUGUUUCAUUUUAAUAUGUAUAAAGAGAACAAAUUAUAUUAUUUGAGACUAAAUGCAAA